AACAGACACACAACACAAACAACAACAGACACAAAUGACACAACAGACACAAACAACACAACAGGGUUUUGAAUGGUGGACUUGGUGGUAAAACCGUUUUUUUCAAAGAAAUGUAAAGAUGCUUGCAGAUAAAAAGAUUUACAAAGUAAAAAUGACGCUGUGUGUUUCUCACUUAAUCUUGAGACUUGACCAAUCAGUGUCAUCGGCGACGUGUUCGGAGGGGAGGAGUGAAGCAGACAGGAAGGAGGAGUGACGCAGACAGGAAGGAGGAGGGAGACCAUAUAAGGGGAAAUUAAUGUGGCAGGAAAUGGGACCUGAAAGACGUUACGCAACAUCACAGCUUCUGUCAACAACACGUGGAAAAAAACAUAACAUUCUGCUGCUGUCGCUCAGCGGCUCUGUGGCGCCACCCGGUGGCUAAACGUCCCGAGCAGCUGACAGUUUAAAUCGGUUUCAUUGGGGAAAGAAACGUCCGUGAAGAGGAAAACAAUACCCGAAGCUGCCGGAGCGGGGCCGCUGCUUCGGGGCCGUCGCAGCGCCCCCUGCAGGCGGGAGGCUGCGAGCCACUUCCACAGAAUGGAAGCAGGAAGACCGGAAGAGCAGAGUGGAAAAGUGAGCGGCGCCCUCAGCGUAGGACGAAGAAGAAGAAAAAGAAGAAGAAGAGGAAGAAGAGGACGUGGAGGGCACAGCGAGGAACUCUAGCUGGCCAAUAGAGAGGCUGCGAAUCUGCUGGCCGCUGGGAGGGCGGGGCGAUGCGAUCAAGCCACGCCCCUCCAGUUGAGGUAAGCCCCGCCCUUCAACCGACCUCUGAGAGCUGAACGUCUGACCGGGGUCCACCAUCCUCUGUCGCAGGGGCAUCAGACUCUGAGCUGUGGGGACAAACAGAGGCAGAGGAGAGUUGGUUGUUUUAUUUUGAAAACCAGAAACACAGGAAGUUCAGGCACUGAAGAAAAUAUGCAAAAGAAGAAGUAAAAGCUUUUUAUCCAAAGAGUAUUGAAGAGUGUCAUACUGCAGAUGAAUGUGAUUCCAAAACAAGAAUCAUUUUAUAAAUUAAUGUGACGACAGCUGUCAAAUAUUACAAAAGAAAAAACGAUAAAACACAAUUUUCAAAAUAGUUAAAAAAUGAAUCUGUCUUGUUGUGGAAUCAAAACAACUGAAAUUGACUUGUGCAAUAAUACAUAUUAAUAAAAGCAUUAAUGUUGUGCCUU